UACGAAGGGGGCUAGCGUUGUUCGGAAUUACUGGGCGUAAAGCGCACGUAGGCGGACAUUUAAGUUGGAGGUGAAAGCCUUGGGCUCAACCCAAGAAUUGCCUUUGAUACUGGAUGUCUCGAGACCGGGAGAGGUGAGUGGAAUUCCUGGUGUAGCGGUGAAAUGCGCAGAUAUCAGGAAGAAUAUCCGUGGCGAAGGCGGCUCUCUGGUACGGCACUGACGCUGAGACGCGAAAGCGUGGGGAGCGAACAGG
rnacentral:rRNA from 1 species